AGUAGUGACGUGAUUACAGGAAGCCAGCAGACGGCGGAGGCAGAAAUGCAAAACAAUGGAGAUCAAUCGUCGUGAGACAUCUUCGUACUUUUUACCGAAACAGGAAUUUAAAAGAUCUUGGUUUGGAAGAAAGUGAGUGAGGAGGAUCGAACAAUCUGAGCCGACUGUUUUUUUUGAUGGUGGUGAGCCUGUGUCCCCUCUGAACCUGCUGCUGCUUCUGCUUCCCAUGCCGACCCAUCAACAUCUGCAGCUGUCCCCGCAGCGCCACCAAGAUGAAGAGCUCAGAGAAGGCCUAGAUAGCAGCCAUCAGUUGUGAAGCGGCAUCCUCCUAGAAGCACUCCGGAGUCCGGACCAGUCCUGUAGAUCCAGCACCGCCUCCACGCUCAGAGGAUGAGCUCUUCCUCUUGAGUCUGGUCCCUUACCUGCAGAGGUUGCUACCUCAGAUGAAAAAAAUUGUUACAUUUAAAGUUCACAAAUUAAUUUAUUAAAGCAGCACAGUUGUGCUUAAUGUGGAACCUACAAUGCAGUUUUAAAAAAGAGGCAGCAAUCUCUGCAGGUAAUGAACCAGACUUUCUCUCCUCUCCUUCACUUUGGCUCUCCCCCUUCCAAGCAAGAUCCUUUCUUAUUCCUCUAUGUAAAUAGUUGUAAAGGUUCUUUGUAUAUAUUGAUAUAUUUUGUAUAAAUAAAUGGUCUAUACAGUCACCAAA